GCCCAAGUGGCGGAAUGGCAGACGCGCUACGUUCAGAGCGUAGUGCCCGUAUGGGCGUGGGAGUUCAAAUCUCCCCUUGGGCACCA
rnacentral:tRNA from 1 species